rnacentral:rRNA from 1 species
AUUGAACGCUGGCGGCAGGCCUAACACAUGCAAGUCGAACGGUAGCACAGAGGAGCUUGCUCCUUGGGUGACGAGUGGCGGACGGGUGAGUAAUGUCUGGGAAACUGCCCGAUGGAGGGGGAUAACUACUGGAAACGGUAGCUAAUACCGCAUAACGUCUUCGGGCCAAAGUGGGGGACCUUCGGGCCUCACACCAUCGGAUGUGCCCAGACGGGAUUAGCUAGUAGGUGGGGUAAUGGCUCACCUAGGCGACGAUCCCUAGCUGGUCUGAGAGGAUGACCAGCCACACCGGAACUGAGACACGGUCCAGACUCCUACGGGAGGCAGCAGUGGGGAAUAUUGCACAAUGGGCGCAAGCCUGAUGCAGCCAUGCCGCGUGUAUGAAGAAGGCCUUCGGGUUGUAAAGUACUUUCAGCGGGGAGGAAGGCGUUAAGGUUAAUAACCUUGGCGAUUGACGUUACCCGCAGAAGAAGCACCGGCUAACUCCGUGCCAGCCGCCGCAGUAAUAC